UACGUAGGUGGCAAGCGUUGUCCGGAUUUAUUGGGUUUAAAGGGUGCGUAGGCGGCCUUGUAAGUCAGUGCUGAAAUAUCCCGGCUUAACCGGGAGGGUGGCAUUGAUACUGCAGGGCUUGAGUAAAGUUGAGGUUGGCGGAAUUGACGGUGUAGCGGUGAAAUGCUUAGAUAUCGUCAAGAACACCGAUAGUGAAGACAGCUAACUAAGCUUUAACUGACGCUGAGGCACGAAAAGUGUGGGGGAUCAAAACAGG
rnacentral:rRNA from 1 species